GCUGAGGCCCAACGAUGCUGUCCAGCUUCCGGCAGAACUCCAGCGUGGGCGGGAUCGAAGCUGUGCCAGGGAAAGAAAGGGCAGAGAUGGGAUUCCCUUCCCACAGCUGAAGGAUUAUUUGCAAAUAUGCCUCAAAGAGUUACAGAAACAGCAUCAGAAAGGCAGAACAAUGCUAAGGAAAAACUGUGCAUAUCAUCAAAGAAACAGCAACAAAAUUCUUUCCACCUUCAAUUUAGGUUAGAUUUCACAUUGCACCACCUACUGUGCAACUCUCUGGAAUGAACUGUGUGUGGGUAUGUACUCAAAAUACACAUACUUCUCCCAGGGGUUUUGCCCUUGAGGGAAGAAGCAGCAGAUGGGGACAGUAAAACAGGACCCACCUUCCAUAGUGCUGCAGAUUUCCCGGCAUUUCAGCACGGAUUGGAGAAUCCCUUCCCGCUAACUGAAGCAAAAAAGGACACACAAGAAAAACCAGCUUAGAGGCAGAGAGAAGAGAGAUAUUUCUCCUUGGUAUUUUAGCCCUUAGUAGGAUCAGGUAAACAGGGAGAAAAGAAAAAAUAACAAACACAAAACCCAAACCAACCACUUUCACACCCCAAAAAACCCCAACCCAACUA